GACGAACGCUGGCGGCGUGCCUAAUACAUGCAAGUAGAACGCUGAAGGAGGAGCUUGUUUCUCUGGAUGAGUUGCGAACGGGUGAGUAACGCGUAGGUAACCUGCCUGGUAGCGGGGGAUAACUAUUGGAAACGAUAGCUAAUACCGCAUAAUAGCAGUUAUUGCAUGAUAACUGUUUGAAAGGUGCAAUUGCACCACUACCAGAUGGACCUGCGUUGUAUUAGCUAGUUGGUGGGGUAACGGCUCACCAAGGCGACGAUACAUAGCCGACCUGAGAGGGUGAUCGGCCACACUGGGACUGAGACACGGCCCAGACUCCUACGGGUGGCAGCAGUAGGGAAUCUUCGGCAAUGGACGGAAGUCUGACCGAGCAACGCCGCGUGAGUGAAGAAGGUUUUCGGAUCGCUAAAGCUCUGUUGUAAGAGA
rnacentral:rRNA from 1 species